rnacentral:rRNA from 1 species
CCUACGGGAGGCAGCAGUGAGGAAUAUUGGUCAAUGGACGAGAGUCUGAACCAGCCAAGUAGCGUGAGGGAUGACUGCCCUAUGGGUUGUAAACUUCUUUUAUAUGGGAAUAAAAUGUUCCACGUGUGGGAUUUUGUAUGUACCAUAUGAAUAAGGAUCGGCUAACUCCGUGCCAGCAGCCGCGGUAAUAAGGAGGAUCCGAGCGUUAUCCGGAUUUAUUUGGUUUAAAGGGGGCGUAGGUGGAUGGUUAAGGUAGUGGGUAAAGUUAGGGGCCCAAACGUAAAAUAGCAGUUGAAACUGGCAGUCUUGAGUGCACGAGAGGUGUGCGGAAUGCGUGGUGUAGCGGUGAAAUGCUUAGAUAUCACGAAGAACUCCGAUUGCGAAGGCAGCUUACUGGACUGCAACUGACACUGAGGCUCGAAAGUGUGGGUAUCAAACAGGAUUAGAUACCCGUGUAGUC